CAGAAUAAACUUGAUGGGUUGUAGCUGGUUCUCUCGGGAGCAUGUGCUCGCCUGUCGCUUUUGUUUUUCCACCUGUGCACCAUUUGUAGCCUUGGAAUUAUAAAACUAUCUGAAUGCUUUUCAGUAUGAGGGUUUGCUGGGCCACACUUGGCUAAGCUUCCCUUGCUGGUUUCAAGGCUAUGUUUUUAUACACCCCUGUAGUAUGUCUCAGAAUGAUAUUCAAGGGCCCUAGUGCCUAUAAAGUUUAUA
rnacentral:misc_RNA from 1 species